AUCCAAUCAGUGUAUAUUAUCGACGGUGACCAUCACAGCCACUUCGGGCCAUCAUCAUCGGUCUGAGAAAAUGACAAAGCCCUCAUCUUUCAUAUGUCGCUCAGUUUCUUCGACGGCAGCCUCCCAAGUCUCCUCUUCUAUCAGAAAAGGAAAAUAACAAGAGCAUUCAUAGGAGUCAUCGAAGGGGACUGAAUCCUCGCCACUUUUAUCGAUGGGGACAUCAUCAUUGCCACUCCCUUCGUACUCUGCACUCCAACCUUCAGAACCACCGCAUAUCCAGUAUGGAUCUGUCGUAGUUUUACCGGGGUGGUUGGAAUAGAUAA
rnacentral:lncRNA from 1 species